rnacentral:lncRNA from 1 species
AAAAUUAUCUCUAAUAUUUGAGUUUUGAUGACAAAAACUUGCAAAUUAUUUUAAAAUAGAAAAUAUAAUCAGAUCAUUGAUCGGGUAAAUGGAUCAAGAAUUUUAACCUUAACCCGACACGGAAAAAAAUCGUGUCGACCCGGACUCGACCCAUUUAAUAAUCGUGUUAAAUUUGACGACUCAUACCUAUUUAUUUGUGUCGUAUUCGUGUCGGGUAAUCGAAUCGUGUCAAAUUUUGCCAGCUCUAAUUACACUCUACAAAACUCUCAAAGUUCUGUAAGUAGGACUAGGAUCUGGUACUCAGCUGAGUUUGUGUUGAGCACCAUAUCAAUAGUCAGCAAUUACUUGGGGCCUACAAAAUACAAUUGUUGACCAUUGAUUUGGUGUUCAGCACAAACUCAGCUGAACACCGAAUCCAUUUUCCUGUAAGUAAGCAUGGCUCAGAAACUUGUAUCAGUUAUAUCCCCUAUAAUCCACUUCUAGUAAGAAAUCUUUUAUUUUUAAUAUGGCAGUGACCAAGUUAAAAGUGAGAAAUUAUAAAUCUUAUUUUCUUUGUUGAAUUUUUUUUAAUAAUAUGAAUAAGCAGUUUUCGAAACAUACAAUGUCAAAAAUAACAAGAUAAUUGACUUACGAAAUUUUCCAACCAUACAUGAAAAUCAGAGCAACAAAAAAAAUUAAUAGUAAAAAUUAACUAAAAGUAUCCAAUACUCGGUUACAAUUUACAAUAUAUUGAGAUAUGAUAAAUCUGAAAUUUUUGCUUUAAUGUUAGUAAGUGUUGAACUUCAGAAAUAAGGUAGAAAAGCGUAAUAUUUUGUUGGCCUAAAAUAAGUUAAAUAAUACAUAAUGAGUUCGACUCAACCAUUAUUGAACAUAAACUAAUCUCUAUAACAAGUUAUAAACUUUAGGUAAAUCUAGUUGUGGGAUUACCCUAUUUCAUACAAAUUUGAUCAGCACAAAAUUUCAGUUUAGAGACUUAUUUGAUAUAAAUGGAAAACUUAUGCUUACUCCAGAAAUCAUAAACAAAAUAGGGAUCGAGAUGUUAUUUUUUUGUUCAUUGAUUUUUCUAUUGAAAGAAAUGACAAUUGGUGGGAUAUUCCUAUCAACUAUUUGUUUAAAUUCACCCCACUUCUAAAACAUAUUUACAAUAUUUUAUAUAA